rnacentral:rRNA from 1 species
GUGGGGAAUUUUGGACAAUGGGCGCAAGCCUGAUCCAGCCAUGCCGCGUGCAGGAAGACGCAUCUAUGGUGUGUAAACUGCUUUUGUACGGGAAGAAACACUCCCUCGUGAGGGAGCUUGACGGUACCGUAAGAAUAAGGAUCGGCUAACUCCGUGCCAGCAGCCGCGGUAAUACGGAGGAUCCAAGCGUUAUCCGGAAUCAUUGGGUUUAAAGGGUCCGUAGGCGGUUUAAUAAGUCAGUGGUGAAAGCCCAUCGCUCACAGAUGGAACGGCCAUUGAUACUGUUAGACUUGAAUUACAAGGAAGUAACUAGAAUAUGUAGUGUAGCGGUGAAAUGCUUAGAUAUUACAUGGAAUACCAAUUGCGAAGGCAGGUUACUACUUGUGGAUUGACGCUGAUGGACGAAAGCGUGGGGAGCGAACAGGAUUAGAAACCCGUGUAGUCC